rnacentral:rRNA from 1 species
AUUGAACGCUGGCGGCGUGCCUAACACAUGCAAGUCGAGCGGUAACAGGUGUAGCAAUACAUGCUGACGAGCGGCGGACGGGUGAGUAACGCUUGGGAAUCUGCCUGUUAGUGGGGGACAACCCGGGGAAACUCGGGCUAAUACCGCAUACGCACUACGGUGGAAAGCCGGGGACCACAAGGCCUGGCGCUAACAGAUGAGCCCAAGUCGGAUUAGCUAGUUGGUAGGUAACGGCCACCAAGGCGACGAUCCGUAACUGGUCUGAGAGGACGACCAGUCACACCGGAACUGAGACACGGUCCGGACUCCUACGGGAGGCAGCAGUGGGGAAUAUUGGACAAUGGGCGAAAGCCUGAUCCAGCGACGCCGCGUGGGUGAAGAAGGCCUGCGGGUUUGUAAAGCCCUUUCAGUGGGGAAGAAAAGCCUCGAGCUAACACCUCGGGGUCUUGACGUAACCCAUAGAAGAAGCACCGGCUAACUCUGUGCCAGCCGCCGCGGUAAG